rnacentral:rRNA from 1 species
GACGAACGCUGGCGGCGUGCUUAAUACAUGCAAGUCGAACGGAAAGACGAUGCGUUUGUGGGGUUCUCGUGUGGCGAACGGGGGAGUGACACGUGAGUAACCUGCCCUUGACUGAGGGAUAACUUCACGAAACUGGGGCGAAUACCGGAGAGGAUCUCCUGCUGCAUGGGGUGGGUUGGAGAAUUUCGGCGUUUGGGGAUGGAAUCGCGGGUUAUCAGCUGGUUGGUGGGGUAGGGGCUGACCAAGGCUAUGAAGGGUAGCCGGCAUGGGAGGGUGAACGGCCACCUGGGGCCUGCGAUACGGCGCAGAAUGCUACCGGCGGCAGCAGUGGAGAAUCUUGCACAAUAGGCGGGAGCCUGAUGCAGCAACGCCGCGUGCGGGAUGACCGCCUUCUGGUUGUAAACCGCUUUCGCCUGUGCUGAAGCCUGAGUGACGGUAAUGGGUAAAGAAGCACCGGCUAACUACGUG